rnacentral:tRNA from 1 species
GAGGGUAUAGCUCAGUGGUAGAGUGUGUGCUUAGCAUACAUGAGGUUCUGAGUUCAACACCCCGUACCUCCA